rnacentral:ncRNA from 1 species
UAUCAAGACAACACGUUGUGUGAGAAUCGAUGUGAAGGUUUGGCACUUCGAUGUCGGCUCUUCGCCACUUGGGGCAGGCUGUAGUAUGUUAAGGGUUGGCUGUUUGUCCAUUGAAGCGGUAAGUGAGCUGGGUUCAGAACGUCGUUAGACAGUUU